GACGAACGCUGGCGGCGUGCUUAACACAUGCAAGUCGAACGGAAAGGCCUAGCUUGCUGGGUACUCGAGUGGCGAACGGGUGAGUAACACGUGGGUGAUCUGCCCCUGACUUUGGGAUAAGCCUGGGAAACUGGGUCUAAUACCGGAUAUUCAUUUUUCCUCGCAUGGGGAUUUGUGGAAAGCUUUUGCUGUUGGGGAUGGGCCCGCCGCCUAUCAGCUUGUUGGUGGGGUAAUGGCCUACCAAGGCGACGACGGGUAGCCGACCUGAGAGGGUGAUCGGCCACACUGGGACUGAGACACGGCCCAGACUACUACGGGAGGCAGCAGUGGAGAAUAUUGCAAAAUGGGCGCGAGCCUGGUGCAGCGACGCCGCGUGAGGGAUGACGGGAUUCGGGUUGUAAACCACUGUCAGCUCAGACGAAGCGAAAGUGACGGUAGGGGCAGAAGAAGCACCGGCCAACUACGUG
rnacentral:rRNA from 1 species